GUUUCUUCUUUUUUCUUUUUUCUUUUCCUCUUUUCCUCUUUCCUCUUUCCUCUUUUCUCUUUCGUUUUUGGUGUGGU
rnacentral:ribozyme from 1 species